rnacentral:tRNA from 1 species
GCUUAUGAUAGCUUAAAAAGAGCACAACACUGAAGCUGUUGGGGUAAUUAUUAAAUUUCUAGGUA